rnacentral:rRNA from 2 species
GGGUUGUGAGGUUAAGCGACUAAGCGUACACGGUGGAUGCCCUGGCAGUCAGAGGCGAUGAAGGGCGUGCUAAUCUGCGAUAAGCGCCGGUAAGGUGAUAUGAACCGUUAUAACCGGCGAUACCCGAAUGGGGAAACCCAGUGUGAUUCGUCACACUAUCAUUAACUGAAUCCAUAGGUUAAUGAGGCGAACCGGGGGAACUGAAACAUCUAAGUACCCCGAGGAAAAGAAAUCAACCGAGAUUCCCCCAGUAGCGGCGAGCGAACGGGGAGGAGCCCAGAGCCUGAAUCAGCAUGUGUGUUAGUGGAAGCGUCUGGAAAGGCGCGCGAUACAGGGUGACAGCCCCGUACACAAAAGCGCAUGUGCUGUGAGCUCGAUGAGUAGGGCGGGACACGUGGUAUCCUGUCUGAAUAUGGGGGGACCAUCCUCCAAGGCUAAAUACUCCUGACUGACCGAUAGUGAACCAGUACCGUGAGGGAAAGGCGAAAAGAACCCCGGCGAGGGGAGUGAAAAAGAACCUGAAACCGUGUACGUACAAGCAGUGGGAGCACCCUUUGGGGUGUGACUGCGUACCUUUUGUAUAAUGGGUCAGCGACUUAUAUUCUGUAGCAAGGUUAACCGUAUAGGGGAGCCGGAGGGAAACCGAGUCUUAAUUGGGCGUUAAGUUGCAGGGUAUAGACCCGAAACCCGGUGAUCUAGCCAUGGGCAGGUUGAAGGUUGGGUAACACUAACUGGAGGACCGAACCGACUAAUGUUGAAAAAUUAGCGGAUGACCUGUGGCUGGGGGUGAAAGGCCAAUCAAACCGGGAGAUAGCUGGUUCUCCCCGAAAGCUAUUUAGGUAGCGCCUCGUGAAUUCAUCUCCGGGGGUAGAGCACUGUUUCGGCUAGGGGGCCAUCCCGGCUUACCAACCCGAUGCAAACUGCGAAUACCGGAGAAUGUUAUCACGGGAGACACACGGCGGGUGCUAACGUCCGUCGUGAAGAGGGAAACAACCCAGACCGCCAGCUAAGGUCCCAAAGUCAUGGUUAAGUGGGAAACGAUGUGGGAAGGCCCAGACAGCCAGGAUGUUGGCUUAGAAGCAGCCAUCAUUUAAAGAAAGCGUAAUAGCUCACUGGUCGAGUCGGCCUGCGCGGAAGAUGUAACGGGGCUAAACCAUGCACCGAAGCUGCGGCAGCGACGCUUAUGCGUUGUUGGGUAGGGGAGCGUUCUGUAAGCCUGUGAAGGUGUGUCGUGAGGCAUGCUGGAGGUAUCAGAAGUGCGAAUGCUGACAUAAGUAACGAUAAAGCGGGUGAAAAGCCCGCUCGCCGGAAGACCAAGGGUUCCUGUCCAACGUUAAUCGGGGCAGGGUGAGUCGACCCCUAAGGCGAGGCCGAAAGGCGUAGUCGAUGGGAAACGGGUUAAUAUUCCCGUACUUGGUGUUACUGCGAAGGGGGGACGGAGAAGGCUAUGUUGGCCGGGCGACGGUUGUCCCGGUUUAAGCGUGUAGGUGUGUGUUCCAGGUAAAUCCGGUUCACUUUAACACUGAGGCGUGAUGACGAGGCACUACGGUGCUGAAGCAACAAAUGCCCUGCUUCCAGGAAAAGCCUCUAAGCAUCAGGUAACAUCAAAUCGUACCCCAAACCGACACAGGUGGUCAGGUAGAGAAUACCAAGGCGCUUGAGAGAACUCGGGUGAAGGAACUAGGCAAAAUGGUGCCGUAACUUCGGGAGAAGGCACGCUGACACGUAGGUGAAGUGAUUUACUCACGGAGCUGAAGUCAGUCGAAGAUACCAGCUGGCUGCAACUGUUUAUUAAAAACACAGCACUGUGCAAACACGAAAGUGGACGUAUACGGUGUGACGCCUGCCCGGUGCCGGAAGGUUAAUUGAUGGGGUCAGCGCAAGCGAAGCUCCUGAUCGAAGCCCCGGUAAACGGCGGCCGUAACUAUAACGGUCCUAAGGUAGCGAAAUUCCUUGUCGGGUAAGUUCCGACCUGCACGAAUGGCGUAAUGAUGGCCAGGCUGUCUCCACCCGAGACUCAGUGAAAUUGAACUCGCUGUGAAGAUGCAGUGUACCCGCGGCAAGACGGAAAGACCCCGUGAACCUUUACUAUAGCUUGACACUGAACAUUGAGCCUUGAUGUGUAGGAUAGGUGGGAGGCUUUGAAGUGUGGACGCCAGUCUGCAUGGAGCCGACCUUGAAAUACCACCCUUUAAUGUUUGAUGUUCUAACGUGGACCCGUAAUCCGGGUUGCGGACAGUGUCUGGUGGGUAGUUUGACUGGGGCGGUCUCCUCCUAAAGAGUAACGGAGGAGCACGAAGGUUGGCUAAUCCUGGUCGGACAUCAGGAGGUUAGUGCAAUGGCAUAAGCCAGCUUGACUGCGAGCGUGACGGCGCGAGCAGGUGCGAAAGCAGGUCAUAGUGAUCCGGUGGUUCUGAAUGGAAGGGCCAUCGCUCAACGGAUAAAAGGUACUCCGGGGAUAACAGGCUGAUACCGCCCAAGAGUUCAUAUCGACGGCGGUGUUUGGCACCUCGAUGUCGGCUCAUCACAUCCUGGGGCUGAAGUAGGUCCCAAGGGUAUGGCUGUUCGCCAUUUAAAGUGGUACGCGAGCUGGGUUUAGAACGUCGUGAGACAGUUCGGUCCCUAUCUGCCGUGGGCGCUGGAGAACUGAGGGGGGCUGCUCCUAGUACGAGAGGACCGGAGUGGACGCAUCACUGGUGUUCGGGUUGUCAUGCCAAUGGCACUGCCCGGUAGCUAAAUGCGGAAGAGAUAAGUGCUGAAAGCAUCUAAGCACGAAACUUGCCCCGAGAUGAGUUCUCCCUGAGACUUAGAGUCUCCUGAAGGAACGUUGAAGACGACGACGUUGAUAGGCCGGGUGUGUAAGCGCAGCGAUGCGUUGAGCUAACCGGUACUAAUGAACCGUGAGGCUUAACCUUACAACGCCGAAG